rnacentral:rRNA from 1 species
UACAGAGGGUGCGAGCGUUGUUCGGAAUUAUUGGGCGUAAAGGGUGUGUAGGCGGUUGGAUAAGUGUGGUGUGAAAUCUCCCGGCUUAACUGGGAGGGUGCGCUACAAACUGUCUGACUAGAGUGUGGGAUGGGUAAGUGGAAUUCCUGGUGUAGCGGUGAAAUGCGUAGAUAUCAGGAGGAACACCAAUGGCGAAGGCAGCUCGCUGGGACGUGACUGACGCUGAGACGCGAAAGCGUGGGGAGCAAACAGG